rnacentral:rRNA from 1 species
GAUGAACGCUGGCGGCGUGCCUAAUACAUGCAAGUCGAGCGAACAGACGAGGAGCUUGCUCCUCUGACGUUAGCGGCGGACGGGUGAGUAACACGUGGAUAACCUACCUAUAAGACUGGGAUAACUUCGGGAAACCGGAGCUAAUACCGGAUAAUAUAUUGAACCGCAUGGUUCAAUAGUGAAUGACGGUUUUGCUGUCACUUAUAGAUGGAUCCGCGCCGCAUUAGCUAGUUGGUAAGGUAACGGCUUACCAAGGCAACGAUGCGUAGCCGACCUGAGAGGGUGAUCGGCCACACUGGAACUGAGACACGGUCCAGACUCCUAAGGGAGGCAGCAGUAGGGAAUCUUCCGCAAUGGGCGAAAGCCUGACGGAGCAACGCCGCGUGAGUGAUGAAGGUCUUCGGAUCGUAAAACUCUGUUAUUAGGGAAGAACAAAUGUGUAAGUAACUAUGCACGUCUUGACGGUACCUAAUCAGAAAGCCACGGCUAACUACGUG